GCACCACGGACCAGGCUUCCAGUGCGUCAGCCCAGUCCAGUACGUCCUGUUCCCACUCCUCACACUAGCCUUGGGGUGCGUGUCUCCAGUCUGGUACCUCCACUACCAGCCCCACGCAUCAGGCUUUCAGUGCGCAGUCCCCGUCCAGAGCUUCCGACGACAGUACCCCGUCCAGAGCUUCCGGCGACAGUGCCUCGUCAGGGAGUGUCCGGCGACAGUGCCCCGUCUAGAGAUUGCCCACAGUCCGGAACCGAGUGAGACGGCCCACAGUCCGGAACCGAGUGAGUCGGCCCACAGUCCGGAACCGAGUGAGUCGGCCCACAGUCCGGAACCGAGUGAGUCGGCCCACAGUCCGGAACCGAGUGAGUCGGCCCACAGUCCGGAACCGAGUGAGUCGGCCCACAGUCCGGAGCUCCCAGAGUCGGCCCACAGUCCGGAGCUCCCAGAGUCGGCCCACAGUCCGGAGCUCCCAGAGUCGGCCCACAGUCCGGAGCUCCCAGAGUCGACCCACAGUCCGGAGCUCCCAGAGUCGCUCUUCUGCCCGAGGUCUACAGCGAAGCGCUUCAGCCCGAGGUCUACAGCGAGGCGCUUCAGCCAAAGGUAUUCUGCGGGGGUGGACAGGUUAGGUGGUGGACUAAGGCCAGAACCUGAGCCACCUCCACAGUAGAAGGAUUGGGG
rnacentral:lncRNA from 1 species